UGCAGUCGAGCGAAUGACAGGGAGCUUGCUCCCUUGAUUUAGCGGCGGACGGGUGAGUAACACGUGGGCAACCUGCCCUGUAGACUGGGAUAACUUCGGGAAACCGGAGCUAAUACCGGAUAAUCCAUUUCCCCUCAUGGGGAAAUGUUGAAAGGCGCUUUCGCGUCACUACAGGAUGGGCCCGCGGUGCAUUAGCUAGUUGGUGGGGUAACGGCCUACCAAGGCGACGAUGCAUAGCCGACCUGAGAGGGUGAUCGGCCACAUUGGGACUGAGACACGGCCCAAACUCCUACGGGAGGCAGCAGUAGGGAAUCUUCCACAAUGGACGAAAGUCUGAUGGAGCAACGCCGCGUGAGUGAUGAAGGUUUUCGGAUCGUAAAACUCUGUUGUAAGGGAAGAACAAGUACGUUAGGAAAUGAACGUACCUUGACGGUACCUUAUUAGAAAGCCACGGCUAACUACGUGCCAGCAGCCGCGGUAAUACGUAGGUGGCAAGCGUUGUCCGGAUUUAUUGGGCGUAAAGCGCGCGCAGGCGGUUUCUUAAGUCUGAUGUGAAAGCCCACGGCUUAACCGUGGAGGGUCAUUGGAAACUGGGAGACUUGAGUGCAGAAGAGGAAAGUGGAAUUCCAAGUGUAGCGGUGAAAUGCGUAGAGAUUUGGAGGAACACCAGUGGCGAAGGCGACUUUCUGGUCUGUAACUGACGCUGAGGCGCGAAAGCAUGGGGAGCAAACAGGAUUAGAUACCCUGGUAGUCCAUGCCGUAAACGAUGAGUGCUAAGUGUUAAGGGGGUUUCCGCCCCUUAGUGCUGCAGCUAACGCAUUAAGCACUCCGCCUGGGGGAGUACGACCGGCAAGGUUGAAACUCAAAGGGAAUUGACGGGGGCCCGCACAAGCGGUGGAACCAUGUGGGUUUAAUUCGAAGCAACGCGAAGAACCUUACCAGGUCUUGACAUCCCAAUGACCGUCU
rnacentral:rRNA from 1 species